GAUGAAGAACGUAGCGAAUUGCGAUAAGUAAUGUGAAUUGCAGAAUUACGUGAAUCAUCGAAUCUUUGAACGCAUAUUGCACUCUCUGGUAAUCCGGAGAGUAUGCCUGUUUGAGGGUCAGUAAAUAAUAAUUAUUAUGAAUCUUUUGAUUUAUGGAAUUGGGCUUUUAUUUCGAUAGAUCUAUGGCCUUAAAUUUACGUUAUGGGCUUGUCAUAUAAAAUCCAAUCUAAAGGAGCAAUUAAACAUUCUCAUUAGCGCGGAUUUUUACAAGCUGUUAUGAUCUUUGGUUGCUUUCAGCAUUUUUACGAGUGCAAAACCAAGAUUGUAAGUUUACUCUAACAAUGACCUCAAAUCAGGCAAGAAUACCCGCUGAACUUAAGCAUAUCAAUAAGCGGAGGA
rnacentral:misc_RNA from 1 species